GAUGUUCUUCGACCAUUAGCGUGAAAAAGCCUAGGAUUCUCCCUGAAAAGAUUCCAAUUAUUAACAGAGCAGUUUCUGUUCUUUACACCAUGACAUUAACCAUUCGUUUAAAGCAACAAGUCUACUGAACCUUUCGUGUCCUCGUUGAUACAUGGGGAGUGGUCCUGACACAAUAAUAGUCUCCACCCAGAACUGCACCUGCGGCUUUCUCGAAAACCAGAGGGGGAGAAGUCGUCGCCCGGAGCCUGGCUUUCAUCCUCUGCUGUGGAUGCACCGAGUGUUACGAUUCAUGAAUUGCACUGUCUCUCCCUUGGCUUGUUUAGAGUGCAGAUCGUUGUGGUUCUUUCCUGUGUUCCGUUCUGUUCCCCUGGCUGUGUUGGAUCGUGGAUUCCCCCGUUGUUCUUCAUCGAGUCUUCUUGUUCCCUGCACCGGAAUCAUGAGCACCUUCACUGGGAUUACAGCACUGGCUCACCGAGGAUCAUCACUGUUGUCCACCGAGGUCCCUGCGUCACACACCAUCUGAGCUUGUGAUCGUCGCCACUCUCCCCCUGUGGUAUCAGCGUCAUUGUUGUCUGUUUGUAUGACGAUAAUUAUAUCUUGUCAUUAAACCGCCUUGAAUUUGCAA